GUUGUCGUCAGCUCGUGUCGUGAGAUGUUGGGUUAAGUCCCGCAACGAGCGCAACCCCUAUUGUUAGUUGCCAUCAUUCAGUUGGGCACUCUAGCGAGACUGCCGGUAAUAAACCGGAGGAAGGUGGGAUGACGUCAAAUCAUCAUGCCCCUUAUGACCUGGGCUACACACGUGCUACAAUGGUUGGUACAACGAGUUGCGAGUCGGUGACGGCGAGCUAAUCUCUUAAAGCCAAUCUCAGUUCGGAUUGUAGGCUGCAACUCGCCUACAUGAAGUCGGAAUCGCUAGUAAUCGCGGAUCAGCACGCCGCGGUGAAUACGUUCCCGGGCCUU
rnacentral:rRNA from 1 species